rnacentral:lncRNA from 1 species
GCGAUAUCAACACUGAAGAACAUGACAAACUUAGAUUAACAAUAGCGUUUGAUAUUUCCUUCUCCUUAGAGUGUCAAAUGUUACAAUUUUUACAAGAUGCAGAUGAAUAUAAUAAUAUAAUAUACGUAAAACCAUCCUCUCAACUAGAUAGAGCUGAAAAACAAGGUGCGUUGGGCUGGGCUUAAGAGAAGAAGCCGAAUGUGUCGAAAAUGGUAGUGUGAAGUGGGUCACUCAAGUGGGUAGCCCAGUUGUUAAGUGGGCCUUUUCCAGUAGCAGCAGCUUGGACAGCAAAGCCCAAGAAGGCAACCAUAGCAAGACGAGCAUGCUUGAUCUCAGCAAGUUGAAGUGUGGCUUUUUUCUCCGGGUCAGCAGCAAGGCCCAAUGGGUCGAAGAAUGAUCCACCAGGGUAAAGCCUCUUUUCCGGGUCAAGCUCAGCGUUUCUUUGGAAUUCAAUGUAUCCAAUAACAAGGACCUCAAUCCAGAUCAAUGUUGUAAUGGAGAAUGGGAGUGGUUGCCCCAAGUAGGAUGAUCCCUCAACCAGCUCAACCUAUGCAAGUCCAAGAAAGAGUUAAAUGAGUUAGAAAUGGCAAGUGCAACACAAUCACAAGUUAAACAAUACUCUACUGAUAAGUCUUAUUAAAUUUGAAAUGGGUUUAUCCCUGUUUGGUUAGGAUAAAAUUAUGGUAUAAUUAAUCUCGGGAUUAGUUAUCCCGAGAUUGUAGUGUUUUUUUAUCAUGUGAUAACUUGUUUCCCAACCAAACAACCCCAUAAUGUAAAUACUUUAAUCCUAUUUACCUUCUAGGUGCAGCAAGGUGACAAAUUAAAUAUUCCUUUCAGGAAAAACUCAUCCAUACUCGAUGAACUUUUAUCAUUUAAUCAUAGUUGUAAUAUAAAUUUUGACCUCAUUAAAUUACUUAACCAACUAUAUGGUUUAAACGACGAGUGCAGUUAAAUGUAUAUCGCUCCUCAACUACACUAUGCAAUUUCUAGCCUAAACUGUCCAUAAAACAUCGAAAUUUUCCACUUUAGGUUUGGUCGUGCGUAAAAUCAAGUGAUUAGAAACUUUGUUUUCAUACUUUCUUGAUCUAUUUUUUCUAUUUAUCUCAAGCUCGAUCACGAGCAUAUUGCUUUUUUUUUUUUCCACCAAAGUUUCUAAUAAAUAUUGAUGAUGUUUAAAUUUUGUUCCCAAUGGGAUUGUAGUCCCAAUCUAGCAAAAUAGUAAAUCCACAAAUUCGAAACUAGCUAGGCAACCAUGGACAAUGAGGAAGGAAUAAUCACAAGCACCAUGCACAAACCUACUGUUCAGGCAUCAAAAUGAAAUACGGAAAGUUGAAAAUAAAAUGCGGAUCCAAGAUUUGAAUUAAUAGUAUGUAUUACAACAGAGUUAUUACUCUUUAAUUAAACUUUAUGCAAAUAUAAUAUAGAUAUAAAUUUUUAAUUAAAACUUUUCAUACAUAUUUAAUUCAAAUAAGCAUUUAGUGGGUAUAUAUAUAUGCUUACAAUUACAAAUGACGUUGAGCAUGAAUUAACAUGUAAUAAGAAUUAUCUAUUCAAAGAAAGUAAUGUACCAGAACUACUACUAAAUAUUAAGUAGGGAAGUUAACUUAUAUAGCUAACAACUUAAAUUUGUUUAUUGUUUUAUACUUUUAUUACUACCAGUAAAUUUUAGCACAUGUCUUAUAUUAAUUUUUCUCACUGUCACUAUAAACUAAGUUAAUCUCAGGUUAUAAUACGUUCAUGCAAAAGCAAAAGAUGGUGUAGGUAGUACCUUUCCAGCGUCUUGCCAUGUAAUACCAGUGAGCCACUCAACAGUCAAAGCACCAAGUGUAGCCAACAUAGCCCAUCUCCCAUGGAUCAGCUCACAUUCUCUGAAUCUCUGCAGUCCAAACACCUCACUGUACGGCUGGAACGGUGUCGAUUUCACAUCAGCAAGUUCAGUCCUGGUCCCAAUUACGUCACCGGCCAAAUUCUUAGCCAAAUUCUGGUCCAAUGAAUCCAAAUCAAAUUGCAAGUACUCAGCAGGUUUCCCCAAACCAAAUGGAUCGAAUCCGUAAUCGCCGACGAGACUCCCGUCCAGAUAUUCUGGUGCCUUAGCUCCUGGGUACCAUAACGGUCUGUCUGGGAUUUGCCUUUUUGGAGCCUUUUUAGGUGCGGCUUUUUUUCCGAAUCCG